AGUGAACGCUGGCGGUAGGCCUAACACAUGCAAGUCGAACGGCAGCACAGUAAGAUCUUUCUCUUACGGUUGGCGAGUGUCGGACGGGUCAGGUAUACAUCGGAAUCUACUUCUUCGUGGGGGCUAACGUAGGGAAACUUACUCUAAUACCGCAUACUCCCUUCCUGUGUAAUCAUUGGAUCUUCUCACCUUUCGCGUUUGUAUUUGCCGAUUUCGGUUUAGCUUGUUGGCUUGGUAAAGUCCCACCAAGGCGACGAUCCGUAGCUGGUCUGAGAGGAUGAUCAGACACACUGGAAGUGAGACACGGACGAGAGUCCUACGGGAGGGAGCAGUGGGGAAUAUUGGACAAUGGGCGGAAGCAUGAUGAAGCAAAAGCGAGUGGGAGAAGGAGGAGUUGGGGUUGUAAAGAAAUUUUGUUGGGAAAGAAAAGAAGCAGGAUAAUACGACGAUGGAGUGACGGUAACGAAAGAAUAAGCACCGGCUAACUACGUG
rnacentral:rRNA from 1 species